ACGUAUCCUUUUUUGCAUUUUUCUAAAACCCCUAAAGGUUAACCCAAGUGGGAGAAUAUAUAAUAAGUAAUUAAAUAUUACACGUGGAAGCAAAAGACUCACCCGGUAUUUAUCACUGGGUGUAGGGUCGAAAGAACCAUGGUUGUACACAACAAAAAUAUUUUAUUAAGAAUUAUGCUAAUUAAAAAUAAAUAAUGCAAACUAAGAUGUGAAGCAUGACAAAGGUCAACAAAUUU
rnacentral:lncRNA from 1 species